rnacentral:rRNA from 1 species
GCCAGCAGCCAGAUCACUCUGCAACUCACAACUGGCAACCCCACCCCAGUGGAGCUCAGCAGGUGUGAGCCUGGUCAGUACCUGGAGGGGAGACUCCUGGGGAAAACUAAGGUUGCUGCUGGGA